rnacentral:siRNA from 1 species
UAAGCGUGCCAAGAUCGUGAUAU